GCUAUUUUCGUCAGAGCGCUAAC
rnacentral:snRNA from 1 species